rnacentral:lncRNA from 1 species
CGAAGGCUCCACCAUCAAAUAGAGAUAAAAGAAAAUAUUGUUGUUUCCAUCGAGAUCAUGGACAUGAUACUGAAGAGUAUUGAUAACUUAAAGAUGAGAUCGAAGUCUUAAUCUGUCGAGAUCAUCUUAGCAAGUAUGUCCAAAAUCAAACAACCCAAGCUGUAGAAUAGUAUCAAAAGCUGAACGACGACGUUGAACUCAAUCGACCUACUGCUAGGGU